UACGUAGGUGGCAAGCGUUGUCCGGAUUUAUUGGGUUUAAAGGGUGCGUAGGUGGUCUAUUAAGUCAGUGCUGAAAUAUCCCGGCUUAACCGGGAGGGUGGCAUUGAUACUGAUGGACUUGAGUGGAGUUGAGGUAGGCGGAAUUGACGGUGUAGCGGUGAAAUGCGUAGAUAUCGAGAGGAACACCUGCGGCGAAGGCGACUUCCUGGCCUGUUCUUGACGCUGAGGCGCGAAAGCUAGGGGAGCGAACGGG
rnacentral:rRNA from 1 species